rnacentral:misc_RNA from 1 species
GAUGAAGAACGUAGCGAAAUGCGAUAAGUAAUGUGAAUUGCAGAAUUCAGUGAAUCAUCGAAUCUUUGAACGCACAUUGCGCCCGCUGGUAUUCCGGCGGGCAUGCCUGUUCGAGCGUCAUUUCAACCCUCAAGCUCUCCGGAGUUUGGUGUUGGGGCGCCUGGGGCUUUUCGACCUCAGGGCCCUCAAGUCCAUCGGCGGGACCGCCAGGACACUGAGCGCAGUAGUAUUAUUUCGCUCGGUAGUAUCUUCCACGGCGGGUCGAUCUGGCCGCUAAACCCCCCAAUUCUCACCAAAGGUUGACCUCGGAUCAGGUAGGAAUACCCGCUGAACUUAAGCAUAUCAAUAAGCGGAGGA